rfam:Homo sapiens chromosome 9, GRCh38 reference primary assembly.
GCCGGGCAUAGUGGUGCAUGCCUGUGGUCCCAGCUACUCAGGAGGCUGAGGCAGGAGGAUCGCUUGGGCCCAGGAGGUCGAGGCUGCAGUGAGUGUGAUCACACCGCUGCACUCCAGCCUGGGGGACAGAGUGAGACCCUGACUCCA